rnacentral:SRP_RNA from 1 species
GCGAAUGGGGCGCACAAGCAUGCGUUCAUUGCGG